GGAAACGCGCGGUGACGUAAAAAACGCGCACUCGCGUAAAAUACGGGUUGGAACUGCGCGUUAUUGUACGGACGAUUAUUGGCCCAAUCGGCUUGCCAUACCACAAUAGCGUCGUUGCGAGCACGAGGAGACCUGGAAGAUUUAAGGCCAAACAAGAAAACCAGACAACCAUCUCUUUGAAGAUUCUGGUCCAAUCCAACAAAAGGUGGACCUGGCACAACUACAGAAAUGACCACAGCGUUGACCAGUAUGAACGUUCAGAUAUUGGAGACACACAGAUAAAAGAUGAACAAGGACCGUGUUUCGAUGUAAAGACAACCGAAGAGCCGGCGCUCAACCAAGCGGAUUUGCCCCAAACAACUUAUGACAUAGAUAUAUCAAAGGCCAAGGACCAGAUUAGUGAAAUGGACGACUCUGGAAAAUUCCAACUUCUUCAGACCAGAAAACCACCCAAAUCUUUCAAUUUCCCUGCCAGAGAAUUUAAAGACAACCGAAGAGCCAGUGGGGUGACCAAAAGAACAUGCCAGAGGGACUGGCUGGACAAGUAUGACUUUUUAUCAUUUUUACAUCAUAUAAAGAUGAUCUACCGUCAGGAUCAACAUUCAGGCAGGAAGUGAAGUUGUGGCACACAAAGUGGUCAUCAGUGGAAAAAC